rnacentral:rRNA from 1 species
UACAGAGACUGCAAGCGUUAUUCGGAUUCACUGGGCGUAAAGGGUGCGCAGGCGGCCGGGUGUGUCAGAUGUGAAAUCCCGAGGCUUAACCUCGGAACUGCGUCUGAAACUACUCGGCUAGAGUAUUGGAGAGGGUAACGGAAUUCACGGUGUAGCAGUGAAAUGCGUAGAUAUCGUGAGGAACACCAGAGGCGAAGGCGGUUACCUGGACAAUUACUGACGCUCAGGCACGAAAGCGUGGGGAGCAAACAGG